rnacentral:miRNA from 1 species
UUGUUGGGGUUUUUUUUUAU